UAGGCCAUGUUUGAUAUCCUCUUAUAGGCUGUAUUAGCAAAUGCAUCUAGCAAUAUAUGUGUGUUUGAAAUCCUAGGUACAAAUUACAAAUGGUCCGGGAAAAUGCAUAAGCUCGGCCAUAUAUUACUGUAAACUCCGGAAAACGCAACUGGUACCCCCCCAUCUGAUACGUUUUCCAUACUUGUAAAAUGACUUCCAAUAUCCAAAUUUGCCCUCAUUUUUGAAACACAAAAAUUCGUCAACAUAGAAAUUUCCUCCACAUUUGUGAUUCUCUGCGUCUUUCUCCUCAAACUCAGCGAAGAACCCUAUAUUUGCAGAAUUAACACACGGUAAGUACGAAUAUCGCAACCACAGCUUGAAUCACCGAAUCCAUGUUCGUAUUCUUUUUUCUUUUGGAUUCGUAUUAGCGUGCCUUUGUUACAUUGAAACUUGCUUCCACUAGGAUUUUCGACUUGUACAAAAUGUUGGGGGGAGAUGUGUUUUCUGGAUUUCAUUUUUUUAAGGGUUGAAUCAUACAGUUUAUAUUUUGAUUCUGGGCAAAAUUAUUGUUGGGCUUCGAACAAUUAUCAAAGCAUGUUAUUUCUAUAUCUUUUUAACGCAUUUUGCUCGGUUCAUAUCUAUCGAGUUGUUGUUGUUCUAGUCCGAUACCAAAUUGUUUUCUGUUAUAUUGUUUUCAUAUCUAUCGAGUUGCUGCUGCUUUUCCCCUUCUUCAAAAUGGGUCAUAUUAUAUUUUGCGUGGAUUGUUUUGGGCAGGGGUCCCAUAGAAACGGAAUAGAGUUAGACAUUAUUAAUUUCACUCUACAAACCUCAUGCUGCUAGUCUAGUUUAUUCGAGCACGUCGUUUUUAUCUUCAUUUAAAUUGCUGCUGAUUAUGUAUUAAAUAUGUUGUUGAAGUAUUAGGUCUUUGAGCAUAUUUUCACAUUUCCUUGUUUUGAUAGUUGAAGCACCAGUAGCCAGCAGAUCAAGGGACAACAUCCACCAUCCCAUAAUAGAGUAUUGGAUAACAAAUCAAGGCA
rnacentral:lncRNA from 1 species